rnacentral:rRNA from 1 species
GAUGAACGCUGGCGGCGGGCCUAAUACAUGCAAGUCGAGCGAACAGACGAGUAGCUUUCUACUCUGACGUUAGCGGCGGACUGGUGAGUAACACGUGGAUAACCUACCUAUAGGACUGUAGUAACUGGGGGAAACCGGAGCUAAUACAUGAGAAUAUAUUGAACCAUAUUUUUCAAUAUUAAAAGGCAGGGUGGCUUUCACUUAUCGAUGGUUCCGCUCGGCAUUAGGUAGGGUGAAAGGUAACGGCGUACCAAGGCAACGAGGCGUAUGCGAGCUGAGAGGGGGAUCAGCCACACUGGAAGUGCAACAAGGUCCAGGCUCCUACGGGAGGCAGCAGUAGGGAAACUUACGCAAGGGGAGAAAGCAUGACGGAGCACCGCCGCGCGAGUGAUGAAGGUAUUCGGCUAGUAAAACUAUGUUAUUAGGGAAGAACAAAUGUGUAAGUAACUAUGCACGUCUUGACGGUACCUAACCAGAAAGCAACGGCUAACUACGUG